UACGUAGGGGGCAAGCGUUGUUCGGAAUUACUGGGCGUAAAGGGAGCGUAGGCGGGAAGAUAAGUUAGGAGUUAAAUUCCCAAGCUUAACUUGGGACCUGCUUUUAAUACUGUCUUUCUUGAAUAUGGGAGAGGGUGACGGAAUUCCAGGUGUAGCGGUGGAAUGCGUAGAUAUCUGGAAGAACACCAGUUGCGAAGGCGGUCGCCUGGCCCAAUAUUGACGCUGAGGCUCGAAAGCUAGGGGAG
rnacentral:rRNA from 1 species